rnacentral:rRNA from 1 species
UACGUAGGGUGUAAGCGUUAAUCGGAAUUACUGGGCGUAAAGCGUGCGCAGGCGGUUAUGUAAGACAGAUGUGAAAUGCCCGGGCUUAACCUGGGAACUGCAUUUGUGACUGCAUGGCUAGAGUUUGGCAGAGGGGGGUAGAAUUCCACGUGUAGCAGUGAAAUGCGUAGAUAUGUGGAGGAACACCGAUGGCGAAGGCAGCCCCCUGGGUCAAGACUGACGCUCAUGCACGAAAGCGUGGGGAGCAAACAGG